rnacentral:rRNA from 1 species
UACGUAGGGUGCAAGCGUUGUCCGGAAUUAUUGGGCGUAAAGAGCUCGUAGGCGGUCUGUCGCGUCGGCUGUGAAAUCUCGGGGCUCAACCCCGAGCGGUCGUGGGAAACUGGUUGGCUAGAGUGCGGGAGAGGAGAGUGGAAUUCCUGGUGUAGCGGUGAAAUGCGCAGAUAUCAGGAGGAACACCGGUGGCGAAGGCGGGUCUCUGGGCCGAUACUGACGCUGAGGAGCGAAAGCAUGGGUAGCGAACAGG